rnacentral:lncRNA from 1 species
AGGAAAUACGUGCAGAGGGAAGAUGUUACCAGAGCAAGAAACAAAGGCAGUAAAUUAUUUUGUGACAUGUCUUAGAUUUUGAGGAAUAUCGGAAUUGUAACUUAGGUUUUAUCUACCUUAUGACCUUGCAGUGGCAUGGCAAAGGAGACAGGAAUUUACAGGACUUUACAAAGUAUGUUUACAAGGAAUUGGAAUUGGGAGCAUAGAUGAGGUCCACUGGUCACAGAAAAACGGGCAGUUAACAUUCCUUUUAGUUUUAGGGGAGGGGGAAGGGAGACAGGGAGAGAGGACACAGGGAAGCUUAUAGCAAAAUUUUCACUGUUUAUAGCUUUCUUGGGGAAGAAAACACAUGCACAAAUCCUGGUGUUAGGAAUAUUUUAAGCAUAUAUUUUCAAUAUUGUUCAUCCAGGACCAAAGGAAGUCCUGAUGCAGGAAAUGAGUGAGUUUCACAACUUUCUGAGCCCCUACUGGACACAGGAAGCCCAGCUGGCGCCUCCUCUCAAGUGUGUCAAGGGAAAUACAAG